UGCGUGUACUGGAUGUGGACGCUGGAGGAGGAUGUGUCCUAAUCCAUACCCUUUCUCAGUGGUGAGAACCUGAGUUCCCCUCCAGAGAAAGCUACGUUUCACUUUCCUCGGCGAUCGCAGGGCCUGAGCACCGGGGGCAGAGGAUUCUUACUUGGGUGACGGUAUCUUUCUCACCGUGUGCAGUG